UGCCUCCAAGAUGGGGACAACACUCCGAAAGGGGUGCCAAGAGUGAAUGUUGUAUUGCUGCUGCAUGCCACUAUUACCAAAGGUGGCUUUUAUCUAUCGCUUGGCCAGGGGCCUGCGUCUGAUUAGCUGGUUGGUGACGGUAACGGUGCACCCAGGCGACGAUCAGUAGCCGGUCUGAGAGGAUGAACGGCCACAUUGGGACUGAAACACGGCCCAGACUCCUACGGGAGGCCUAUUUGGGAAUCUUCCGCUUUGGUCGAACGCCUGACC
rnacentral:rRNA from 1 species